CCUACGGGUGGCAGCAGUGAGGAAUAUUGGUCAAUGGGCGCGAGCCUGAACCAGCCAAGUAGCGUGAGGGAAGACGGUCCUAUGGAUUGUAAACCUCUUUUGGCGGGGAGCAAAAGACGCCACGCGUGGCGUUCCGAGAGUACCCGGAGAAAAAGCAUCGGCUAACUCCGUGCCAGCAGACGCGGUAAUCCGGAGGAUGAGAGAGUUAUCCGGAGCUAUGGGGGUGAAAGGGGGCGCAGGCGGAAGAUCAAGUCAGCGGUAAAAUUGAGAGGCUCAACCUCUUCGAGCCGUUGAAACUGGUUUUCUUGAGUGAGCGAGAAGUAUGCGGAAUGCGUGGUGUAGCGGUGAAAUGCAUAGAUAUCACGCAGAACUCCGAUUGCGAAGGCAGCAUACCGGCGCUCAACUGACGCUCAUGCACGAAAGUGUGGGUAUCGAACAGGAUUAGAUACCCCUGUAGUC
rnacentral:rRNA from 1 species